GGGUAAUUAGCUCAGUUGGUAGAGCAUUUCGCUUACACCGAAAACGUCAGCGGUUCGAGUCCGUUAUUACCUA
rnacentral:tRNA from 2 species